rnacentral:rRNA from 1 species
UAGGGAAUCUUCCACAAUGGACGCAAGUCUGAUGGAGCAACGCCGCGUGAGUGAAGAAGGUUUUCGGAUCGUAAAGCUCUGUUGUUGGUGAAGAAGGAUAGAGGCAGUAACUGGUCUUUAUUUGACGGUAAUCAACCAGAAAGUCACGGCUAACUGCGUGCCAGCAGCCGCGGUAAUACGUAGGUGGCAAGCGUUGUCCGGAUUUAUUGGGCGUAAAGCGAGCGCAGGCGGAAUGAUAAGUCUGAUGUGAAAGCCCACGGCUCAACCGUGGAACUGCAUCGGAAACUGUCAUUCUUGAGUGCAGAAGAGGAGAGUGGAACUCCAUGUGUAGCGGUGGAAUGCGUAGAUAUAUGGAAGAACACCAGUGGCGAAGGCGGCUCUCUGGUCUGCAACUGACGCUGAGGCUCGAAAGCAUGGGUAGCGAACAGGAUUAGAUACCCUGGUAGUCCAUGCCGUAAACGAUGAGCGCUAGGUGUUGGGGACUUUCCGGUCCUCAGUGCCGCAGCAAACGCAU